rnacentral:rRNA from 1 species
GACGAACGCUGGCGGCGUGCUUAACACAUGCAAGUCGAACGGAAAGGCCCUGCUUUUGUGGGGUGCUCGAGUGGCGAACGGGUGAGUAACACGUGAGUAACCUGCCCUUGACUUUGGGAUAACUUCAGGAAACUGGGGCUAAUACCGGAUAGGAGCUCCUGCUGCAGGGUGGGGGUUGGAAAGUUUCGGCGGGUGGGGAUGGACUCGCGGCUUAUCAGCUUGUUGGUGGGGGAGUGGCUUACCAAGGCUUUGACGGGUAGCCGGCCUGAGAGGGUGACCGGCCACAUUGGGACUGAGAGACGGACCAGACUCCUACGGGAGGCAGCAGUGGGGAAUAUUGCACAGUGGGCGGAAGCCUGAUGCAGCAACGCCGCGUGCGGGAUGACGGCCUUCGGGUUGUAAACCGCUUUCGCCUGUGACGAAGCGUGAGUGACGGUAAUGGGUGAAGAAGCACCGGCUAACUACGUG